rnacentral:rRNA from 1 species
AUUGAACGCUGGCGGCAGGCUCAACACAUGCAAGUCGAGCGGAGAUGAGGUGCUUGCACCUUAUCUUAGCGGCGGACGGGUGAGUAAUGCUUAGGAAUCUGCCUAUUAGUGGGGGACAACAUUCCGAAAGGAAUGCUAAUACCGCAUACGUCCUACGGGAGAAAGCAGGGGAUCUUCGGACCUUGCGCUAAUAGAUGAGCCUAAGUCGGAUUAGCUAGUUGGUGGGGUAAAGGCCUACCAAGGCGACGAUCUGUAGCGGGUCUGAGAGGAUGAUCCGCCACACUGGGACUGGGACACGGCCCAGACUCCUACGGGAGGCAGCAGUGGGGAAUAUUGGACAAUGGGGGGAACCCUGAUCCAGCCACGCCGCGUGUGUGAAGAAGGCCUUAUGGUUGUAAAGCACUUUAAGCGAGGAGGAGGCUACUGAGACUAAUACUCUUGGAUAGUGGACGUUACUCGCAGAAUAAGCACCGGCUAACUCUGUGCCAGCCGCCGCCGUAACAC